rnacentral:lncRNA from 1 species
UGAAGACGUCGUCUCUGUGAUGAGGACAUGGCAGGAGGAGGAAGAGGCUCUCCCUGAGGAUCGGAGACCCACCAGUCAUGCCAGGGAACACUACCUCAAAGUGAUGGAGCAGGUUUUCAGUUGGUUCCAUAGACAUCUGAAAAUAGGGGACUCACUCUCAGAAGAAUUCCCAAGUCACAUGCUUCCUGAGGCAGUCGUGCCCCCGUCGAAGGAGCACAGCUAUGCACAGUGGCUGGAGAGGACGUACCAGCUUCCCAAGGAGUCUGGGGGCAUCCGUGAGGCGACCACCAACUCUCUUCCAUUUUCAGUCACUACACAACAGUCUGGUGCUGCACAUUCAGAUGAUAUAAUGAAUAAUGUGGAAUCCACGAGGGCUAAAGAUGCAAGGCAGUGUGCGUUGUGCCA